rnacentral:lncRNA from 1 species
GUUUGUGAGUGCUGGUGACAUGCCAUUUGUGUGACUGGCUGCGUGAGCAUAUAACUAGUCGGAUGACUAGAUUGAUAUGUUUACAUAUUUGUGUGACUGCGUGUGUUAUGGAAUAAUUAUCACUCCUUAGAAAACUCACAUGUCUUGUUUAAUUUUUCAGGAAGUAAGUUUGUCUUUAAUCCGGUUAAGCUAUGUUCCUUCGUCGCAGAGCUAGAAAGAAAAUUUUCCUAGACCAAUGAAUAUUUUGCUAUGUAUCUAGAUGUAUAAAAAUCUAUAUACAUCUAUUAGUUAGUGACUCCGCAGUUGUAGAAUUUGUAUACAAUUAGUCGUGUAUUAACAUAGACAAUAUAAUUAUGUGAGCCCAUAUAAAAAAAUGUGGUGUAUUGAAAAUUGGGCUCGAACUAUGGAAUGUUGAAGAUGAUAAAUUUGGACCGAGGUAUAAUAAAAUCGUGAAAUAUAUUUUUCAUAUAAAUAUGGGCUAAAUGUUUAAAAUUUAUAUUGAGA